UGAAAAGAAGAAAGAGGACUGC
rnacentral:piRNA from 1 species